rnacentral:misc_RNA from 1 species
GAUGAAGAACGCAGCGAAAUGCGAUACAUAAUGUGAAUUGCAGAAUUCAGUGAAUCAUCGAGUCUUUGAACGCACAUUGCGCCCCCUGGUAUUCCGGGGGGCAUGCCUGUCCGAGCGUCAUUGCUGCCCUCAAGCACGGCUUGUGUGUUGGGCCUCCGUCCUCCUCCCGGGGGACGGGCCCGAAAGGCAGCGGCGGCACCGCGUCCGGUCCUCGAGCGUAUGGGGCUUCGUCACCCGCUCUUGUAGGCCCGGCCGGCGCUUGCCGACACAUCAAUCUUUUUUCCAGGUUGACCUCGGAUCAGGUAGGGAUACCCGCUGAACUUAAGCAUAUCAAUAAGCGGAGGA